rnacentral:lncRNA from 1 species
AAUUAUUAUUUAGGUCACUGAAUUUGUUUUUUAAUUUUGUUAUUACAGAAUGAAUGAACAAGGAAAACGGUUGAAGGAAAAUUUGUUUUCUUCACCAAACCAUCACUGUGCGUUCCUUCGCAUCUCAACUUCUCUUCCAUCCGCGCACCAUUUCUGUUUCUCUUUCCAUUCUCGUUUCUGUUUCAUUUUUUGUUUAUUUUCUUCUACAAAUUGUAAGGGUUUCAUUUGCAAAUGUUUAGGGUUCUGUUUCAACAUUUGGAUCUUGGAUUUUAGGUUUCUGUUCUUGCUAGUGUUCUCUUUUGCAUUUAGAUCUUAAUUUUCCUUUAACCUUCAUUUGCAUUUAGAUCUUAGGGUUCCUUUAACCUUCAUUUGCAGGAUUUUAGGGUUCUGUUCUUGCUAGUGUUCUUGAUCUUAAUUUUCCUUUAACCUUCAUUUGAAUUUAGAUCUUAAUUUUUCUUUCCCUUCAAAACAAGAAAAGCAAAACAAGAGCAGCAGGUAAAGGCAUGUCCCCUAUAUAUUAAUGUGAGGCAUGAGGAAAGGAACAUUUUAUCCCUCUUAUUAAGAAGAAUUUGGUAGGCAUGAGGAAGCUUCCUCAAAUGGGUAAAUCUACUGUACUAUUCCUCAAUUCUGGUACAAGUAAGCAGCAGUACCGGAAUAGUUCAUGGAAGAAAUUCCACUUGAAUUUAGCAGAUUGCAAUCUCUUGAAAAUCUUGAUCUUGGUGGAAAUUUGUUAAGCGGAGAAAUACCAAAAACACUUGUUUAGAUUUUGGAUUGUGAUUGAUGAUGUCACUGUAUGUGAUUAAGAGCAAGUUUGUUACAACUUAUUUCCUAUAAAAAUCCCUUUUGAGAAUGGUGUUUCGUAUGUCUACUUAUAUGUAUGGUGUUUGAGAUAUUCACUGUUUGAGAAUGCUCAACUGAGUAAACCUUUUAAUUUGAUUCCUAAAUUGUAUUUCAUCCUAAACUAUUGAAAUGCAAUAAAUAGUCUCUAAACUGUUCUCAUUUUACAAUGUUAAUUUCUAGUAUUAUUUUCACAAUUAAAAUUCUGAAUAACAAGUUCUUACCUG